GACGAACGCUGGCGGCGUGCUUAACACAUGCAAGUCGAACGGAAAGGCCCUGCUUUUGUGGGGUGCUCGAGUGGCGAACGGGUGAGUAACACGUGAGUAACCUGCCCUUGACUUUGGGAUAACUUCAGGUAACUGGGGCUAAUACCGGAUAGGAGCUCCUGCUGCAUGGUGGGGGUUGGAAAGUUUCGGCGGUUGGGGAUGGACUCGCGGCUUAUCAGCUUGUUGGUGGGGUAGUGGCUUACCAAGGCUUUGACGGGUAGCCGGCCUGAGAGGGUGACCGGCCACAUUGGGACUGAGAUACGGCCCAGACUCCUAUGGGAGGCAGCAGUGGGGAAUAUUGCACAAUGGGCGGAAGCCUGAUGCAGCAACGCCGCGUGCGGGAUGACGGCCUUCGGGUUGUAAACCGCUUUCGCCUGUGACGAAGCGUGAGUGACGGUAAUGGGUAAAGAAGCACCGGCUAACUACGUG
rnacentral:rRNA from 1 species